AUGGUGACACCCGCGGCGGCAGUCGGGGGCAUGCUCGCCUCAGCCGUCAUCAAAGUGGUGAUAGGACAGAUCACUUCCAGCAUCACUGGCGAGAUCAAGCUGCACAAGAACAUGAGGAAGGAUCUGGAGAAUAUGAAGAUGACCCUCGAGUCGGUGGAGGCCGCGCUCAGCGAUGCCGAGAGGCGGUCUAUCAAGGAAAAAUCAGAGCGUGUGUGGCUGAAGCGGCUCAAGGACGCCAUGAACGACAUCUCUGACAUGCUUGAAGAUUUUGAAGAUGACACCGACCUCGACCUGUGGGUAGCUACGAUGAAGAAGAUUAGGAUGCCACGAAAGAUGAAAAAGAUGCAAAAACGCCUACAAAAGAUAAAAGAGGACCGUUAUAAUUAUGGUGUUCUGCCAGAAACUCGCUGCGAGGAGCGGCAUGUUCCUGACAUCCGGGAAACAGCAGGGUAUGUGGAGGAAGCAGAAAUCAUCUGGAGGACUGAUGAAGAACAGAAAAUCUUGGGUUGCAUAUCUGGGAACACCACUCAAGGGACCACCAUAUUUCCCAUAUGGGGCUUGGGAGGCAUUGGAAAGACCACCUUGGCAAGAUCGGUUUUCAAUGAUUCUCAGUUCAAUGAAUACUCUCGGGUGUGGGUCUAUGUCUCCCAGACAUUUGACUUGAAAAAAAUUGGCAACAUUAUAAUAUCACAACUAUCACAGAGUCAGAACCAGAUAUCUGAUUUGCAUAUGAUUCAUACUCGUCUUCGAGAGCUGUUUACGGGCAAGAAGAUCCUGAUUAUUUUGGAUGACCUGUGGGAGAAGCGGCCUGAUCAACUAGAACAAUUGAAGGCUAUGCCGAAACAGGGUGAGGGGAGCAAGGUGAUGGUUGUGGUAACCACACGCGAAGAAAGCAUUGCAAAGGAAAUUGGUACGGUUGCUCCGUACGGAUUACCUCCCUUCACAGAUGAAAUGUGCUGGGAUAUUAUUAAACGAAAAUGCAACUUUGAAGCUUGUCCUAACAAAGAGCGUCUUGAGCCAGUUGGAAAGGAAAUUGCAGCAAAGUGUGGAGGUGUGGCUUUAGCUGCUCAAUCACUUGGACACAUGUUGAAAUACACACCAUAUGAAGACUGGAUUUCGGUCAGAAACAGUCAAGUCUGGGAACUGUCUACUUCAGAAGAUACAUCCUAUACCCAUGAAGUGCUUGCAUCCUUAUUGUUAAGCUACAACCGCAUGCCUCAACACUUGAAGUUAUGCUUUGCUUAUUGUGCAAUCUUUCCAAAAGGUCACAAAAUGAUUAAAGAUGAUCUGAUUCAUCAAUGGAUCGCUCUUAGAUUCAUAGAGCCAUCUAAUACGUUCUCUACCUGGCAACUCGGUCAGCGUUAUGUUAGGCAGCUUCUGGAAAUGUCCUUUCUGCAACAUUCAAAUGCUGACACCAGAACUCUCGACGAAAGAAAAGAUGUUACAGUGUUCACUAUGCAUGACCUGGUGCAUGACCUGGCAAGAUCGGUCAUGGCUGAUGAAUUUAACUUGGAGGGCCCUUACUGCCGCUAUGUAUGGCGGACAGAAUGUAAGAAACCAUUAAAGUCAUCCACGACUUCACAUGCAAAGCUAAGGGCGCUGCAUAUUGUGGACCAUGCCUACAAAGAAAUUGAGUUCCAUCGUGAUGUAGAUUCACCGGCUAAGUACAUCCAUGUCUUAGAUUUGGACAGACGCUAUUGGCAUGAGUUGCCAGAUUCUAUUGGUCAAUUGAAGCAGUUGAGGUAUCUUAGCGCUCCACUAACCAGUGGUCUAAUGAAUCCAAACUGCAUUGGUAUGCUCUCAAAAUUGAAUUAUCUCAACCUUCAUUAUUGUGGUAUCUCAGCAUUGCCAGAUUCGAUUGGUGAAAUGAAAGGUCUGAUGCAUCUUGACUUAUCAUGUUGUAAGGGCUUAAAAGAACUCCCAUUGUCAUUUGGGAAGCUCAGAGAGUUGCUAUAUCUGGAUUUAUCACACUGUGAUGGUCUUUCGGGGAUACCCCAAGCUUUGGGUGGCCUUGUCAAACUCCAAGUUUUGGACUUAUCAGCGUGCGAAAAUCUCGGUGGGCUGCCAGAAGUCAUCCGCAUGCUCACUGAACUCCGCUAUUUGAAUCUAUCAUGGUGCAUGCAUCAUAUCUUUGACAGCUCAUCAACUGAUCAUGCUGCAAGUUUCAUUGACUGUAUCUGCAUGCUUCCCAAUAUGGAGCAGCUGCACUUGUCUUGCCAAUAUCAAUAUAAAUAUCCUCUUAGCAUACCAGAAAGUGCUACCUGUCUCAGUAAGCUGGAUCUCCAUGGGUGCUACAGUGUUACUCGGAUUCCAGAAUUUGUGGCUAAAAUGGAUACUCGAAGCCUUUUUGGCUUGUUGCCGUACUUUCUGGUAUAUUCAGAUAGUACGGAAUCUAACAGCAACCUUGCCUUGCUUGAGCAUACAAAUCCUGAACGGCUGAGUAUCGUUGGGCUUGAAGGUGUGAAGUCCCUGGAAGAGACACACAUUAUAAAUCUUCGUGAGAAACAGAGCAUUGGGAAACUGAAAUUAGAGUGGUUCAAAGAUUCAAAGAGAUAUGUGGAAGACAUGGAGUUGCUGAGGGAGCUAGUGCCGCCAACCACUUUGCAGGAGUUUGAGAUAUGUGGUUAUAGUAGUGUCAGCUUUCCAUACUGGCUAAUGGAUAUCGGAAAUUAUCUCCCUAAUCUUGUACGGAUGGAGAUGUCUCAUUUGCCAAACUGCAACAGACUACCACCCCUUGGCCAACUACGAAACCUUCGAGUUCUUAGUCUGGGCGAGAUGGAAAGCCUGGAAGAAUGGAACAUAGCAUACUCAUGUGGUGAAGAUGGUGUGCAUGAGCUCAUGUUCCCUAAGCUUGAGGAAGUGUAUAUAUCUUAUUGCCCCAGAUUGAGGAUAAAACCACACCUUCCUAGAGCUGCGUCUUGGAGUGUAGGGAGAAGUGAUGGUGUGCUCAUAUCAUGGGGAGAGAGUGUGGCACACACUGAUGCUUCCUCAUCUUCUUCCCCUGUAUCUACUAGACUGGAAGUUUCAGGCAGCAAAUUGCCUCUGCAUCAGUGGAGUUUGCUUCACUACCUACCUGCCCACAGCGAUUUGGAUAUCUAUGGUUGCAACGAUUUGGCAGGCUCACCAGAGAUCACCCGGGCCCUCCACUCCCUCAAAUCACUGAAACUAAAUAUGACAGACAGUGAAGAACUGGUGGAAUGGUUCGCAGACCUCACGUCUCUUCAGCAUCUAACAUUACGUGAGUACAAGAAGCUAGAGCAAUUGCCUCGUAACAUAAGGCAACUGACACAGCUCGAAUCAUUAUCACUGUGUGGCUGCAAAAGGAUGACAUCACUGCCAGAAUGGUUAGGAGAACUCACCUCUCUCCUGAAACUUGAAAUUCUGUGGUGCCCUGCCAUCACAACUUUGCCAGAGAGCAUACAGCAACUCACAAACCUCCAACAGUUAAAAAUUUACGGCAGCCCAGAAUUAAGGAAGUGGUGUGCAGCAGAGGAGAACAAGGCAAAGCUUGCUCACAUCAAAGAAAUGCUUACAGAAUCUGACAAAGACGAAGCCACUCUGGCAGAGCCAGCAGAGCCACAACACUGUGGAUGCUUGAGAUUCAUGGGGUUUAAGGAGGAUCAAUGA
rnacentral:rRNA from 1 species